rnacentral:rRNA from 1 species
GUAGGUGGCAAGCGUUGUCCGGAAUUAUUGGGCGUAAAGCGCGCGCAGGGCGGUCCUUUAAGUCUGAUGUGAAAGCCCACGGCUCAACCGUGGAGGGUCAUUGGAAACUGGGGGACUUGAGUACAGAAGAGGAAAGCGGAAUUCCAAGUGUAGCGGUGAAAUGCGUAGAGAUUUGGAGGAACACCAGUGGCGAAGGCGGCUUUCCGGUCUGUAACUGACGCUGAGGCGCGAAAGCGUGGGGAGCAAACAGGAUUAGAUACCCUGGUAGUCCACGCCGUAAACGAUGAGUGCUAAGUGUUAGGGGGUUUCCGCCCCUUAGUGCUGCAGCUAACGCAUUGAGCACUCCGCCUGGGGAGUACGGCCGCAAGGCUG